GAUGAACGCUGGCGGCGUGCUUAACACAUGCAAGUCGAACGGAAAGGCCCAAGCUUGCUUGGGUGCUCGAGUGGCGAACGGGUGAGUAACACGUGGGUGAUCUGCCCUGCACUUUGGGAUAAGCCUGGGAAACUGGGUCUAAUACCGGAUAGGACCAUCGUUUAGUGUCGGUGGUGGAAAGGUUUUCGGUGUGGGAUGAGCUCGCGGCCUAUCAGCUUGUUGGUGGGGUAAUGGCCUACCAAGGCGUCGACGGGUAGCCGGCCUGAGAGGGUGUACGGCCACAUUGGGACUGAGAUACGGCCCAGACUCCUACGGGAGGCAGCAGUGGGGAAUAUUGCACAAUGGGCGCAAGCCUGAUGCAGCGACGCCGCGUGGGGGAUGACGGCCUUCGGGUUGUAAACUCCUUUCGCCAAGGACGAAGCGUUUUGUGACGGUACUUGGAGAAGAAGCACCGGCUAACUACGUG
rnacentral:rRNA from 1 species